AGGGCUGUAAUACGUGUUGCUAACACGCUACCCCCAGG
rnacentral:tRNA from 1 species